GUAUAUCUUUUGCCAUCAUCACCUUUGGAUAUUUGUGUGCAGUAUCUUCAAACUUCCAACAGAGACUUACACCAGUGACUCCUCUCUGAGUUUCCAGGGCUUGGAUUGGACUUGGUCCUGCAUCCUUGAUUCCACUUGUGUUGUUUUAUUCCAUCCUCUUGACCUGAGCAGCUACUGGACUCUCUGGAUCUCCAGCAUACAGGAAAACCACCUGAAUUCUUUCUAUCAAGAGUCUUUGAUUUCUAUCAGAAGAGCUCGGUGCACAACUGCCAAGACCAUGAGAGCGGGAAACUCUGACAGUGACUUCGGAGUUUCUCAUAAUGAAACUUUAAAAAUGGACCCUAAGCUUCUAUUGGUAAAAGACAGAUGAUGCCACCAAUGGACUGAUGAAAAAAAAGAGAAUGAAUGAAUGAACUAGUUGGUGCUGGACACAGGGAAAUAUUUCAGAAAAAUUUUUUUUUUCUUCACAUGGGCAAAGCACAGUCGCCACCAAUCUGGGAGAACAAGAUGAGAUUACAAGGUCAAAAAACAACUGCUCACCGUAACAAAUGAGAAAGCCGUCUUCAGAUGACAUCUCUGAUUCCUACCCUAUGUAACUGCUCACCGUAACAAAUGAGAAAGCCGUCUUCAGAUGACAUCUCUGAUUCCUACCCUAUGUAAUAAUUUACAAACAGCUCGUUUCUUCUUACGUCACUUCACAGUUUUCUCCGAGAGUAUUGAUGCGCAAUUGCUUUUCAUUUGUUCAACUAAAGAAGGAUUUAGGAUUUUUUUCCCAAAAUGAAUGACUCAAGCUUCUAUUUCUAGAAAGAUGAGUGUGAUGUAGCACUUUUUCAGGUCCUAUUCAAUGAAGUGUUAAUCUCCAGAUUCAUUUUCCAGAUCCAGUGGCAUUAAUAUCAA